rnacentral:lncRNA from 1 species
CGAGGUAAGCCAAUAAUAAGAAUAUAAGAAGUAGUCGUCGUCUGACCAUUUUGACUUUAAUGUAGUAUUUUUGUCACGUGUGCUGUAUUUUAACAAAUUAUUUAGUUUGUUAGUUUUAAUAAAAUUUUAAUAUUUGAACAAUAACUUUACCGAGUAUGUCACGACCGGCCUUAAUUAAGGAUAAUUAAUCCGGGAAAACCAUGACUGGGGAAGGGAAAUUAAGAAGCGGGUUUAAAAAGGGGUGCAUAAAAGAAUACUCAAAGAGCUUGAAUACGCGUGAAAUAUUCCUUAAAAAGGAAAAAGGCAUCAUUAGGGGCUUGGCUAAAAUAUUAUCAGAGUUUGCAACGGAAGGCGUAACUGAAAUAAUCAGUGUUUACAGCGGAAUGCAUAACUGAGAUACAUGUAUGAAGACAUGUACCCUUUC